rnacentral:rRNA from 1 species
AUGAACGCUGGCGGCGUGCCUAAUACAUGCAAGUCGAGCGAACAGACGAGGAGCUUGCUCCUCUGACGUUAGCGGCGGACGGGUGAGUAACACGUGGAUAACCUACCUAUAAGACUGGGAUAACUUCGGGAAACCGGAGCUAAUACCGGAUAAUAUAUUGAACCGCAUGGUUCAAUAGUGAAAGACGGUUUUGCUGUCACUUAUAGAUGGAUCCGCGCCGCAUUAGCUAGUUGGUAAGGUAACGGCUUCCAAGGCAACGAUGCGUAGCCGACCUGAGAGGGUGAUCGGCCACACUGGAACUGAGACACGGUCCAGACUCCUACGGGAGGCAGCAGUAGGGAAUCUUCCGCAAUGGGCGAAAGCCUGACGGAGCAACGCCGCGUGAGUGAUGAAGGUCUUCGGAUCGUAAAACUCUGUUAUUAGGGAAGAACAAAUGUGUAAGUAACUAUGCACGUCUUGACGGUACCUAAUCAGAAAGCCACGGCUAACUACGUG